CAGCAGCCGCGGUAAGACGAACCGAGCGAACGUUGUUCGGAAUCACUGGGCUUAAAGGGCGCGUAGGCGGGCUGUCAAGUUCGGGGUGAAAUCCCGCGGCUCAACCGCGGAACGGCCUCGAAUACUGACGGCCUCGAGGGGGGUAGGGGCGGGCGGAACUGAUGGUGGAGCGGUGAAAUGCGUUGAUAUCAUCAGGGACUCCGGUGGCGAAGGCGGCCCGCUGGACCCCAUCUGACGCUGAGGCGCGAAAGCCAGGGGAGCAAACGGGAUUAGAGACCCCCGUAGUCCCUGUCUCUUAUAA
rnacentral:rRNA from 1 species